CCUACGGGAGGCAGCAGUGGGGAAUAUUGGACAAUGGGGGCAACCCUGAUCCAGCCAUGCCGCGUGUGUGAAGAAGGCCCUCGGGUUGUAAAGCACUUUCAGUGAGGAAGAACGCCUGGUGGUUAAUACCCAUCAGGAAAGACAUCACUCACAGAAGAAGCACCGGCUAACUCCGUGCCAGCAGCCGCGGUAAUACGGAGGGUGCGAGCGUUAAUCGGAAUUACUGGGCGUAAAGCGCGCGUAGGUGGCUUGAUAAGCCGGUUGUGAAAGCCCCGGGCUCAACCUGGGAACGGCAUCCGGAACUGUCAAGCUAGAGUGCAGGAGAGGAAGGUAGAAUUCCCGGUGUAGCGGUGAAAUGCGUAGAGAUCGGGAGGAAUACCAGUGGCGAAGGCGGCCUUCUGGACUGGCACUGACACUGAGGUGCGAAAGCGUGGGUAGCAAACAGGAUUAGAUACCCUGGUAGUC
rnacentral:rRNA from 1 species